rnacentral:rRNA from 1 species
GACGGAAGGCGCGGGCGUUAUUCGUUUUGAUUGGGUGUAAAGGGUAUGUAGGUGACCGAUGGAUGAGGUUUUUUGGUGCAAAGCGCGGAGGGUUCCUACGCGGCUUGCCUAUAAACAAGUCGGUUUGAGUUGAAGAAGGGUCGGGGCAAUUUCGUGUGUAGGGGUAAAAUCCCGCCAUAUACGAACGAACGCUAGAAAGCAGAGGCGCCUCUCUAGUUUCAACUGACGCUGAGGUACGGAAGCCUGGGGAGCAAACAGA